GGGGCAUUAGCUCAGCUGGGAGAGCGGUUGGUUCGCAAUCAGCAGGUCAGCGGUUCGAUCCCGCUAUGCUCCACCA
rnacentral:tRNA from 1 species